rnacentral:lncRNA from 10 species
AGUGGCUACACUAGCUGGAGACUGUCAAGGCCAGCUCGAGGAACCAAGAGCAGACUGGGAUCUGGAGAGUACAUACAUCUUCUGUAACCAGAAGCACUCCAAGAACAACACUUUCAUUCAUGGACUUAACAACUACAUUAGAUCAUACCAGCCUGUCACUUCAAAGUCACCAGUGUCAAGGCAUCAAGUGAAUAGAGAAGAUUCUAUGGAUGUAGAAGAGGUCCCUGGGUUUCCGAAUUGCCACUGGAUUGCCUCUAUCAAAUACACAAGAGUUUCAUGAGUGAGAAAUAACCUUCUGUUGCUUUAAAUCUUGGGUUGUGCAAUACAUCAGUGAGCCUACCAUGACUAAUACAUUCUAUGGAUGCAGAUUUCUCUUCUCUGGCCAUUGACAUGAGUGUGCUUUCUGGAUGCAGUCACAGGGGACCCAAGAUUCUUGGACAGAAUUCUCGCCGGGAGCCAACUCAGCCUGAUCUGCUGGCAUCUCUCAAGUAUCAGAAGUCAACAAAAUGGUUUGCCUUGAAGACUUGGCCAGAGCAGCAGCCAAAGUUCAUAAGGCUUUCGUAGAGAGAUUGUUUGUCUAAGAAAACAAAAUUCUAAGGGCUCCCAUUGUGCAGCUGGGGUGGCAAAAUGCAAACUAAUAUAAGGAAAAAAAAUGCUUUUCAUUUCCAUGGAAGAAAUGACCCAUCCUAUUGUUGAUAUUUCCUUUUCUGUGCUAACUUAUUCCAUUAAUUAGGCUCUCGUUUUAUGAGAUAAUUUCACUGCAUGCGUAUCUUCUUUUGGUUAUUACACAAGGACUGUUUUCUAUGGUUCAUAUCUAAGUCCAACCCUGGAAAAAUCUUUUUUUUUGAGACAGCCUUUUUUGUUUUGUUUUGAGACAAUACUCCCUCUGUUGCCCAGGCUGGAAUGCAGUGGUGAGAUCAUAGCUCACUGCAACUUCUGCCUCCUAGGCUCAAAAAAUCCUCCCACCUCAGCCUCCCAAGUAGCUGGGAUUGCAGGCAUAUGCCAUCACACCCGGCUAAUUUUUGGAUUUUUAGUAAAGUUUUGCCAUGUUGGCCAGGCUGAUCUUGAACUCCUGCCCUCAAGUGAUCUGCCCACCUUGACCUCCCAAAGUGCUGGGAUUACAGGUGUGAGCUACUGUGCUCAGCUCAGCCAUGGAACAAUCUUGAUGUAUAAUUUAUCUGCAGGUAUCUCCAUCUCUAUUUGCCACUCUUAGUAAAUGUUUUAGUUUGACAGUAAACGAGUUGAGACAUUAAUGAUUGAGAGAGCACCUAAGCAGCUCGAAGUGCUGGGAGUCUCUCCUAAAGAAUUAGAUGCACACAGCAUUUUUCCCUUACAGACACUUCACUGAGCAGUCAUGUUGGACUUGGGUGGCGUCUGCUAUUAGACACACUAUUCACCAAUAAAACCCUGAAAAUUGCAUUGCACAGGACUGAUAAAAAUAAGAUGACUUAAGAAACGUAUUUAUGGUAUAUAUACACAGAAAAAGAAUGAAAGUUUGAGGGGGUAUUGCCUCUGGGAGGAAGAGUUAUGAGUAGUUUGUAUUUCCUUUUUUGUUAAUCUGUAUUUCAUUUUUUAGGCAAUGCAAAUAUAUUAUUUAGACAACAAAAUACUUAUUAGAAAGAAAAGACAUGGUGGGUUUUUUCCCCUUUAUUCUUUGCUUUUCUAAGAGGAAACUUUGACUGCAAUUGCUUGUGAGUGAUACCUGUGUUCUGGUAGCUUAGGAAGACACAAUGUGGUUAGGGAAGGAUAAGAACAGAUGGCUUUAAUAAAUGUACUCAAGGCUAAUGUACCCUUCAUAGUCUCAGGCUUCAGAUCAGAUCUCUUAUCUAUGCUGGCACCAGGAUGUGGUUUUGAGUUCUCUGCUUUUUCUACAGCUUUAGGGAAAUCUGCAUGCAGGCACAUCUAAUUGUCCAAACCAAAAAUCACAUCCAGGAUGUGAGGCAGCCUGGGAGAGGUCAUUUUGAGUUCUGUAGUCUCCGAAGUAUAAAAACACAUAAACAUGUAUACAUACACACAUUAACACCCACACACUUUUGAAGGAAGAUGGAAUGGAAGACAAGCACCACAGUGAAACUUUAGAAGAAUUUCCCUUACAUUCAGGAAAAAAAGAUAGAGGGUCCAUUUUCAUCACUCUUAUUGCCAUUGUCUAGAAGAUAAGCCGUAAUAAGAUAAAAUAAAAAGUGUAUAGAACACUUGGAAAAAAAUAUAAAAGAUUGGUCCCAUUCUCCGAUGGCAUGAUAUUCAAAUGAAGAACCAACUAUAAACAGGUUGUUAUGAGCUGAAUGUUAAUGUGACCCCAAAAUUCAUAUGCUGAAAUCUUAACCCCAAAGGUGAUAGUGUUAGAUGGUGAGGCUUUUAGGAGUUGACACAGUGUAAUGCCUCUUCUAUGAAGAAGUGGGCCUUUGUCAGUUACCAAAUCUGCAGAGGCCUUGAUCUUGAACUUCCCAGCCUCCAGAGCUUGGAGGAAUGAAUGUUUAUUGUUUGUAAACCACCCAGUUUAUGGUAUUUUAUUAGAGCUGCUCAAAGGGUCUAAGACACAAGUAUAAGUCAUAAGUAAAUGCAUCAAAUUUGCUGAAUAUAAAUCAACAUAUAAAAAAUCAACAGCAUGCUUGGAUCCCUGGUAUGAAUCACAUCUGGUCAUGGCAAAUAAUCUAAAAAAAAAUAAUAAAAUAAUCAAUUUAAAAAAUUUAAAAAGCAACAGUAUUUACUAUUCAUUGCCAAUGACCAAUUAGAAAAUGGCAUAAACAUGACAUCUGUGAUAAGACAAAUACUCUAAGGUAACUAGAACUACAAGUAAUAAAAGAUGUGUACAGUUUACAGAGACGAUUGUAGAAAGCCAAAAAAAAUUAAAAGUGAAAACCUAAAUGGGAAGAAGCAUCAUGUAUAUUGGGUCAUAGUAGAUAUCAUAAUAUAAAUUAUAAAAUACAGAACAAAAUGAUAUAAAAUACUAAAUUUCAAAAUGUGUUGGAUAUAGCUAAAGCAGCACUAAAGAGGAAUUUAUAGGUUUAAAUACACGUAUUGGGGGAGGAAAGAGAUAAAGUUUGAUAUGGCGGUAAGCAUCCACUUAGGGAAAAGUACAAAAAGAAAAUAAUAGUAGAAAGUAAUAAAAUAGAAAAUAUAAAAGAGGUUUUUUAAAAAAUACUUACAAAAUGGACAGUCUUUAUGGGGAUUGAACAAGAACAAAGAAAGAAGGCACUGAUAACCAAUGUCAAGGAUAUGGAAGUGGAUAUGUGGAUAUAACUAAAAUGCUGCAGUUAUUCGAGAUAAGAGUAUUAUAAGUAACUGUAAGAUAACACAUUUAAAAACUUGGUCGAAAUGGUCAAAUUUGUAGAAAAGUAUAUCUCAACAAAACUGAUUCAAGAAAAAUAACCCAUUAAAAAAUAAAUCAGCAGUUACCUUUUAUUUAUUUAUUUUUGACAAGAAAAUAUCAAAUGGUUUUACUGGCAAGAUCUGCCAAAUAUUCAAGAAACAAGUAAUUUCAAUUUUGGACAGAAUUUUCCAGAGAAGAGAAAAUGGGAAGAGGGUUGUUCCUCAUUUUAUGAAGCUAGUAUACACAUCAGUGCCAACAUUUGACAAGGGAAGUUUGAAAAAGGAAAAUCACCGACUAAUCUCUCCCAUGAGCAGAGACUUAAAAAAUUCUAAACAAAAUAUUUGCCAACCAAAUCCGAAUAUAGAAAGGAUUGUACACCAUGAUCAAGUUGAGCUCAUCCUAGGAAUGUUUCCUUUAUGGUAACAUUCGGGAAAGCAAAAUACAUGGGUGCACAUGCAAGAGGUAGGAGAUUGAGACUGGGAGUCUGUAGAACUUCUGAUUUCAUCCAUUUUUUGCAAGUGAAUUAGAUUUUCUUUAAAAAGGUUAUUGGGUGAAGGCGCAGAUAGAGGAGCAGGUCUUGGAGAUUUAAGGGGAAAGGAAGUAUGAUACAGUCUUCUAGAAGACUGGAAGAGUAAAUGGAAUAUAGCGUGAUUGCAUUGGGGCUCCUCUGAGCUUUAUGGGCAUGAAUUUAAAGAUUAUUUGAGGCCCUGGUUUGUGCAGUAAGAAAAAUUUUGUUUAGGGAUUAGGAAGGAAGAAAUAAAACUAAAAAUCUCCCAUUAUUCACAGAUGACAUGAUGAUUCUUAUAGAAAACCCAAAAGAUAUUACUACAUCAAUAUAGAAAACUCAAUUACAUUUCUUUAUUUUUCUUUUUCUUUUCUUUUUUUUUUUUUUUUGCUUUAAGUUCUAGGAUACAUGUGCAGAACGUGCGGGUUUGUUACAUAGGUAUACAUGUGCCACGGUGGUUUCCUGCACCUAUCAACCCGUCAUCUAGGUUUUAAGCCCAGAAUGCAUUAGGGUAAACACAAGCAGUGUAUUCUGAGGCCACUGGCCCGACUUCCCAGGUUGACUCAUCCUGCCUUCCAGCCUUGAAGGGCAAUAUCCUUACCAACAUGUGAUCUGAAGGAGCUCUGAACCCUCCAGUGAGACAUCAGCCCAUCAGACUCACAGAGAACAGCAGGAAGGCCAAAGACUCAAGAUUUAUCUAUCCUUGAAUUAUUCAGUGAUGCUGAUUACAACAGGCCUCCGUUAUACGAAGGGAAAACAUCCCAGACCCCCCAGUGAAUGCCUGAAACUGGAUUCUACUGAACCCUGAGAUGGUACUAAGUGACUAACGGGUGAAUAGCGUGUACAGCAUGGAUACACUAGACAAAGGGAGGAUUCGCAUCCCGGGCUGGUCAGCAAGAGGUUUCAUCACCCCACUCAAAAUGGCAGGACCGUAUGAACCUGAAUCCAGAGAAACGGCUCAUCAGUCUCCAAUCCUCUGAUUUUCUAAACCAGGACUACAUUAUAUUAAAACCAGAAAAAGCAAUACCUCUUUUCACAGAAUGGACUUUCUGGUGGAAAUGGGAGGAACCAAAAGAAGGCUGACUUCUUCAUUUUGACACCCUGCCCUGACUGCAGAACGUGAUUUCCCUAAAAGACUGAAUGUUAACCUCAAAGCCUGGUCAACCAACAUGCAGGAGAAAUCUUGACCAAGGCUCUGAGCAUGCUGUGGUCCCAGUGGUGAGGGUGUGAUAUGCACUGUCUGUUCCUGGAGUCACAGUGCUCAUCUUGUGGUAAAGACCUCUUGGAAGAAUGUCUUCAAAGGCACAUCUCCAGCUGGGAGUCCUUGUUUCCUGAUUUUUUUUUUUAAGUUUAUGUUAUAUGAACAAAUGAGACUGCUUUCCCGGCAGGAGUAGCCCUCAGACGCCCACUGUGAGCCUACUUUCUGGAAGAAGCCAACUCAGACAGACCACAGUGUGUGCACAGCAUACGUGGCUGCUGGCUGUGGAUGAGAAAGUAUUCCUGAUCUGUCAGAAUAAUGAUUUCAGCGUGUUCUCAGCAGGUCCUCAGUGUGAUCCCAUGAGGAUACCCUCAACCCCUUGCAUGACAUGUUGUACUUGGAGUCCUUCCCCAUUUCAAUUUCAGCAUCAGUGGGAGGGAAAUAGCAAAACAGCAUUCCUUCAUGUAGAUAACCAGUAGGCAGCAGGCUACUCCUGGUUCGUAACAUAACUCCACCAGUGUAUUCUGGCAGCCGGGCUUACUUAAGGGAGAGCACAGACAUUCCCUGCUCAAAAACAAAACUGCUAAACGUGACUCCGGUAGCCUCCAUGCUCUCUGCAAGAAUAAAAUCCUUGAAGAAAAAUUGUGAUAAGAAGUCUGUCUUUGGAGUCAGCCUGAGCACAAUCUUGCAUCUCCAGUUACCACCUGGGUGGCUUUAUUCACUUAAGAAAUACCUGUAGGAUACAUACUACAUGGCAGGCAUGCUUCUCAGAUGUUAGCUCAUCUUGCUAAGCCUCCAGUAUCUUCAUCUAAACAGUGAGGAUAACAGUAUGUACCUCCUAGGGCCAUCUGAGGAAAAAGUGAGAUAGUGUGUAUAAAGCUCAUAGCACAGGGCUCAUAGAGAGGAUUUGCAGUUAGUGUUGGCUGUGGCAGGUAUUAUUCCCUUUACCCCAGCCUAUGCCAUCCUUGCCACCCCAUCAGGAGCUCCUGAUGAUGCCAGCACCUCUUGCCGAGCCCUCAUCUGGGGCAGCGUACACCUUUAACUUUUUAUUCCUCUUGGCUUUGAUAUUCAUUGACCUGGAGCUACCCACACCAGGGGGCAGCAUAAAUAAUGGCAGAAGUCACAGUCUCUGCCCUGGCUUCACACCUCCUCUUGGUAUCAGCUGUUCACCAUGCUCUUCCUACUGACUCUCUGUAGGACCAGCACCAACACCAUGUCUUAAUCUGAUAUACAUACACACACACACACACACACACACACACACGAGACACUAUAAACAGUAUAUAUGCAAAACUAUAUAUAUUACUAUGUAUCUAAUAAAUGAAAC